GGCGGAUUGAUCAGGUAUAGGAAUAGCCUCUUCUUUGAGCGAGUGAACAUAAGCAAUUUUAUCGACAAAAGGAAUCAACACAUGAAUUCCAGGAGUCAAGGUCUUAGCAUACUUCCCAAAUCGCUCAACAACAUAUGCCUUUUUCUCAGGCACAAUUCGUACUCCCCAAUUAACAGGCGGCGGAAUUUCAUAUCUCACACUAGGGUCACGAGCAUUGCGAAAAUGACGGACCGGUGUGAAGAACGGGGAGAGCUGACGUGGAUGGAUUUGACCGGAUAGAAGAGAGGACUGCUUUAGAAUCGGCGAAGAGAGAGUGGAAACGGCUCUGCAGGUAACAACAGGCGUCGACUGCAGCAAGUGAUUCAGCAGCCGGAGCUUGCUGAGGGAGUUCGAUCUCGCCGUGUUCAUUGAGGUAUAUGAAUUGGAUGCCGGAAUCGGACGGUGGAGAGAGAAAAAGACAGUCGAUCGGUCCGACGGAGGGGAGUUCUCACGUUUAUAAAGCCCUAGUAAAA
rnacentral:misc_RNA from 1 species